rnacentral:ncRNA from 1 species
UCUCUGACGUCCAUCGCUCAUGGAGCCAGCGAGCGUCACAAUUGCCGCCCUUACGGGCUUCGCGACUGGUUAGACUAAUGGCUUAGUCGCGUGGACCAUGGGCUCUCUGGGGAGGUUCUAGGCCCAAUGGCUGAACUUUCCCCCUAGGGUUGACGAGAGAAAGGUUGAUUAACUCUGGUAAAAUGAGCAACUACCAGAGGGGGUUCGAGAGCUUCGGCUCGCUAGCAAUGCCCGCCCAUUAGGUGCGCAGUGACGUAUGUCACUCCUAGGGUGUGGUGCCGAACCUGCGGGGGCUCACGUCCCGACCUCGGUCAAUCAAUGUCGGCUCUUCCUAUCAUUGCGAAGCAGAAUUCGCCAAGUGUUGGAUUGUUCACCCACUAAUAGGGAACGUGAGCUGGGUUUAGACCGUCGUGAGACAGGUUAGUUUUACCCUAAUGAUGAAGUGUUGUUGCAAUAGUAAUUCUGCUCAGUACGAGAGGAACCGCAGAUUCAGACAAUUGGCAUUUGCACUUGGCUGAAAAGCCAAUGGCGCGAAGCUACCAUCUGUUGGAUUAUGACUGAACGCCUCUAAGUCAGAAUCCUUGCUAGAACGCAACGAUAAUUACCUCCGGAGAAUCUUAGGCGAACAAGGAUAGAGAACGGGCUUGCCCGCUCUCCUGCGUCCCAAUGUGCCAAGAGGGAAAACAACCCUCAAGGCACUAAAGUAUAUCAAAGUUUAAAAUUUCUGGAGAUAAAUCCUUUGCAGACGACUUAAAUAAAGAACGGGGUAUUGUACGUUGAAGAGUAGCCUUGUUGCUACGAUCUUCUGAGAUUAAGUCUUUGUUCUACGAUUUGU